rnacentral:lncRNA from 1 species
GAGAAAGCAAAGCCAGAGGAGAAUUUCCUAAGAGUGAGAGUGAGGACCCACAGUGUUGGGAAUGAAUCUUUUCUUCCUCAUGAUCUCUGUGUUGGUGAAAUACAUACUUUCCUUGUUUGUUCUACUGAGUGAAGAUGAUGCUAAUAAGAAAAAGAAGAAAAUCGGAACAAGAACUUGGAAGCUACAUCCUACUGACCCACAGGUGAGUUGGAGGGUGGGUAGCCUCACUCCACAGGGCACAUGCGAGAAAGAAGCACCUUAAACUGAGAGCUCUCAACUGUCCUUCCACAACUCAGCGACU